AUGACCAUAUGUAUUGUACUUUGCAUUGUUUAUAAAGCUGUUAUUGUUUUUUUUUUUAUCUUCAACAGAGAUUCAAGAAUUUGACUUUUUCAAUAAACAAUAAGGAGCCAAUGAAAACUUCAGUAUAGCAGUGAAUUCUAUUGCAAAAAUGCCUUUUGUCAUAAUUGUACCAAUGGUUGGGAUUGUACCAGCACCGAAGUAUUGGGAAGAGUACAUCGAAGACUCCCGUGGAAAUAAAUAUAAAAUGAGUGAACUUCAAAGCAUAAAUUUAGAAGACAUAAGAGAACAUUGCUCAGGGCUGAGGAUAAAGUUGUCUGAUCAUAUAAAAGAAACACUAAGUAGGUCGCUCCAGAAAAAGCUCAUUUGGCUUGGGCAAUUUCAUAAUCUUUCUUUGGCAUACGGGCCGUUUGCUUUGAAGUACGGAGGAUUAGAUUUGGUUCACUUGUGGAACCAGAAAUUUCAGUAUCUCAUGAAUUUAUCUCUUAUUGAUAUAAAACUUGAGCAAGAACAAAAAAAUUGCUUAAGAAGAACUGGAUUUUAAAAAUCAGAAUCAAGCCUACACAAUUUAGACGGGUUUAAAUCAUUCACUAUUGGAAACAAGUGUAAGAACAGAAGAAUGUUGAUAAUCCAUUGUCUAACUGAAAAGUCAAUUUAUUAUUCUGAAUAAAGUAAUAGAUGUUUAAACUGUUUGAACAAUAUAAAUAAAACUUGGUGCUGUCU